rnacentral:tRNA from 1 species
AGCGGGGUGGAGAAGUAGUAUCUCGGGAGUCUCAUAAGCUCCAGGCCUUGGUGCAAUUCCAAGCCCCGCUACCA